CCUUACCUGGCCUUGACAUACUAAGAACUUUCCAGAGAUGGAUUGGUGCCUUCGGGAACUUAGAUACAGGUGCUGCAUGGCUGUCGUCAGCUCGUGUCGUGAGAUGUUGGGUUAAGUCCCGCAACGAGCGCAACCCUUUUCCUUAUUUGCCAGCGGGUUAAGCCGGGAACUUUAAGGAUACUGCCAGUGACAAACUGGAGGAAGGCGGGGACGACGUCAAGUCAUCAUGGCCCUUACGGCCAGGGCUACACACGUGCUACAAUGGUCGGUACAAAGGGUUGCUACCUCGCGAGAGGAUGCUAAUCUCAAAAAGCCGAUCGUAGUCCGGAUCGCAGUCUGCAACUCGACUGCGUGAAGUCGGAAUCGCUAGUAAUCGCGGAUCAGAAUGCCGCGGUCGAAUACGUUCCCGGGCCUUGUACACACCGCCCGUCACACCAUGGGAGUUUGUUGCACCAGAAGUAGGUAGUCUAACCGCAAGGAGGACGCUUACCACGGUGUGGCCGAUGACUGGGGUGAAGUCGUAACAAGGUAGGCGUAGAUGA
rnacentral:rRNA from 1 species